rnacentral:lncRNA from 1 species
CCUGGGCCCUGUUCUCUAGUCCACCGUGGACCGGGCGGUCCACGGAUGGGCCUGUGGACUGUGUAGGCGUUUUCUACGCAUUUCUUAUGGUCCACGGCACUAUUCCAUAGACCGAAGCGCGAUCGAAGGGCCCAGAGACGUCCCGAUCUUGAUCCGACGAUCUAAGGGGUUAUCUGGUUUUGUUUAGGACUCCUAAUCCAUCUCUAAUCAAGUUUUAAGCCUUUUAAAUGGGACU